rnacentral:lncRNA from 1 species
GACCCGGGCUCCCGGGCUCCGGGUCUCCGGGGCUCCGGGGGGUCUGGCCUGGGUGGGACUGAGCCCAUCCAGGAACUGGGACUCCGGGGUUCUGGUGUGGGUGGAUCCGGGGCAGGCUCAGGACCAAGUCCCUCUCCUUCCACCAAGAAGCGCCCAGAGGCCGGCGGGAGCUCCAGGUUCACCUCCUCCUCCUCCAGGAAAACCCACUUCCAACUGGAUGUCUGGAUGAACUACUGAAAGCUGCUGAGUGUCCUGCAGCAGGUUUGGCAGAAAUCACGUUGCUGUCAUAGAGGGGUUCUUUUCAAACUGAUGUCUUAAAUCUUGUUCAG